rnacentral:rRNA from 1 species
UACGAAGGGGGCUAGCGUUGCUCGGAAUGACUGGGCGUAAAGGGCGCGUAGGCGGAUGACUUUGUCGGGCGUGAAAUUCCAGGGCUUAACCUUGGGGCUGCGUUCGAGACGGGUUGUCUUGAGUGGGGAAGAGGGUCGUGGAAUUCCCAGUGUAGAGGUGAAAUUCGUAGAUAUUGGGAAGAACACCGGUGGCGAAGGCGGCGACCUGGUCCUUUACUGACGCUGAGGCGCGAAAGCGUGGGGAGCAAACAGG